rnacentral:lncRNA from 1 species
AAAUGAUUUCUGAAAAUCACCAUACACCAAUUUAAAUGCUCGUUGACGUCCAAGCCAUGCUUUCCUAUAUGUUAAUUGAUGACCAAAUAUCUCAUGAACCUUAGAAAUGACAUCUACUACCAACAAUUUGGGAUUUUUACGUAUUUGAUUUAGAAACAAAGAUGCAAUUAAAUUGGUAUCUAGGUUAGCGUGACCUAUAGUAAGCCCUUCAGUCUCACAUCUAUGAUUAUCAAAAUACUUUCCUAUCUUCCAAAGGCUACCUCCAACCUUUCGGCCUCGAAGAAACCAUCGACAACCUAAUAAUUCGUGAAACCUGCAUCUGACAAUCCAUAGUUUCUUG